rnacentral:rRNA from 1 species
GCCGAGGCCGAUAGGCGUAGGCGAUGGACAACAGGUAGAGAUUCCUGUACCAGUGCUAAUUGUUUAACCGAUGGGGUGACACAGAAGGAUAGGGAAUCGCACGAAUGGAAAUGUGCGUCCAAGCAGUAAGUGUGAGAAGUAGGCAAAUCCGCUUCUCGCGAAGCAUGAGCUGUGAUGGGGAAGGAAAUGAAGUACGGAAGUUCCUGAUUUCACGCUGUCAAGAAAAGCCUCUAGGAAGAGUAGUACUGCCCGUACCGCAAACCGACACAGGUAGAUGAGGAGAGAAUCCUAAGGUGAGCGAGAGAACUCUCGUUAAGGAACUCGGCAAAAUGACCCCGUAACUUCGGGAGAAGGGGUGCUCUAUUAGGGUGCAAGCCCGAGAGAGCCGCAGUGAAUAGGCCCAGGCGACUGUUUAGCAAAAACACAGGUCUCUGCAAAACCGUAAGGUGACGUAUAGGGGCUGACGCCUGCCCGGUGCUGGAAGGUUAAGAGGAGUGCUUAGCUUCGGCGAAGGUACGAAUUGAAGCCCCAGUAAACGGCGGCCGUAACUAUAACGGUCCUAAGGUAGCGAAAUUCCUUGUCGGGUAAGUUCCGACCCGCACGAAAGGCGCAACGAUCUGGGCACUGUCUCAACGAGAGACUCGGUGAAAUUAUAGUACCUGUGAAGAUGCAGGUUACCCGCGACAGGACGGAAAGACCCCGUGGAGCUUUACUGCAACCUGAUAUGGAAUGUUUGUACCGCUUGUACAGGAUAGGUAGGAGCCGAAGAGACGUGUGCGCUAGCAUACGAGGAGGCAAUGGUGGGAUACUACCCUGGCUGUAUGACCAUUCUAACCCGCCACGCUUAGCGCGUGGGGAGACAGUGUCAGGUGGGCAGUUUGACUGGGGCGGUCGCCUCCUAAAGAGUAACGGAGGCGCCCAAAGGUUCCCUCAGAAUGGAUGGAAAUCAUUCGCAGAGUGUAAAGGCACAAGGGAGCUUGACUGCGAGACUGACAAGUCGAGCAGGGACGAAAGUCGGGCUUAGUGAUCCGGUGGUUCCGCAUGGAAGGGCCAUCGCUCAACGGAUAAAAGCUACCCCGGGGAUAACAGGCUUAUCUCCCCCAAGAGUCCACAUCGACGGGGAGGUUUGGCACCUCGAUGUCGGCUCGUCGCAUCCUGGGGCUGUAGUCGGUCCCAAGGGUUGGGCUGUUCGCCCAUUAAAGCGGCACGCGAGCUGGGUUCAGAACGUCGUG